rnacentral:rRNA from 1 species
CACGUAGGGUGCGAGCGUUGUCCGGAAUUAUUGGGCGUAAAGAGCUCGUAGGCGGCUUGUCGCGUCGACCGUGAAAACUUGGGGCUCAACCCCAAGCCUGCGGUCGAUACGGGCAGGCUCGAGUUCGGUAGGGGAGACUGGAAUUCCUGGUGUAGCGGUGAAAUGCGUAGAUAUUGGGAAGAACACCAGCGGCGAAAGCGCGCUACUGGGCCAUUACUGACACUCAUGGACGAAAGCUAGGGGAGCGAAAGGG